AGUGAACGCUGGCGGUAGGCCUAACACAUGCAAGUCGAACGGCAGCACAGGAGAGCUUGCUCUCUGGGUGGCGAGUGGCGGACGGGUGAGGAAUACAUCGGAAUCUACCUUUUCGUGGGGGAAAACGUAGGGAAACUUACGCUAAUACCGCAUACGACCUACGGGUGAAAGUGGGGGACCGCAAGGCCUCACGCGAUUAG
rnacentral:rRNA from 1 species